CUUAAGAUAAUACUUAGAAAGUUUAAUUUUAUUUCUUUUUAGCUUUAGUUUCAUUCCCCCCCAAAAAUCGCAGCCGUUCUAGACUCUGGAGAAAAAUCAAGUCUCUUCUCAUCCUCUCACCGAUCGCUCACUCUUCUCUCGCUCUCAAAUUUCUUUCAAUCUCGGAUUUCUUCAACAGGUAUCAGUUCUUACCGGAAAAUCGUUGGUUGAUUGCUGAGUUUUGCAACUUUGGUUUCGUAGAAAAGAAUAAUCAUCAAUGGUUGAGGAAGCUGAUUUUUUUCAAGUUUGGUUAUAAGCAUAAAUUGUUGAUUUCGAUUUUUGCUAGUUCUGUAAACCGCUGAAUCUAAGUUACAGGCUUGCAUUUGAGAUAAUGCAGCUUCAAUGGUAAGUGGUGUAUACCAUUUCUACAAGCUCUAUUGUUAGCUUACUGCUGCAAUUUAGCUUGUAAGUGAGUUUGAGUACGAGAAUCUGAUAGCAUCAAGACUAGACUUCACUUCCUGUUACCACUUUCCAGUCGUGGAGCGAAAUUCAAACAAUCUGCAUUCCAUAAGAUUAACAGUGACAUACUUGUCGACAUAAUUCAGCUAAAAUAGACAUGGAGUGGGCAAAAUUCGAUUAUAGGAUACACACACUACCAUUGGACUGGAGAAUGUACAUCUUGGAGAACUUCAGUUUCUUAAAGAUGGUAAUAUUUGUGAAUAUUUUCUUGCUAUAGUGUCAAUAUUUGUGGCUACAUUGUUGAAGAAGAUAGAAGCUCUUAUAAGCAGUCAUGCAUAACUCGCUCAAGUUCUGCGGUGCUCUACAAAUCUUUUGCGCUGAUUUACAACUAAGGAAGUUUGAUGAAACAUUUUUUUCCAUCAAGAAGUUGACAUCAGUUUUGAAUCAGUACUUUGUUGCUGUUGACUUGCUAUGUUUACUAGAUGAGAUGUCAAAUCUAUACAACUAUAACUAUCGAGGGGUAAAUUCAAUAUGUUCUCUGAUGCUUCUGAUUUGAAGGCCAUCAUUCUGAAAAGUCAGCUAGGUGAUAUCGUAGUGAAACCCGCUGAAGUUUCAUGAUAAUGUUGCAGAUCCUAUGUUGAGUUUGGAUGCUAGUAGUUUGAAGUUUAAGCAAGUUUUUGUAGUGAUUUGAAGUUCAAACACGAUUUGAAGUUUCUUGUACUAAGUGGUUGAAGUGAAUGACAUUUCAAUUUAUUUUG